CUUGUACUCCCUUCGUCCGAAAAUACUUGUCAUUGAAAUGGAUGUAUCUAGAGUAUUUUAGUUCUAGACACAUCCAUUUUGAUGACAAGUAUUCCGGACGGAGGGAGUACUUG
rfam:Triticum aestivum genome assembly, contig: Triticum_aestivum_CS42_TGACv1_scaffold_606626_7DL